UACGGAGGGUGCGAGCGUUGUCCGGAAUUAUUGGGCGUAAAGGGCUCGUAGGCGGUCUGUUGCGUCGGGAGUGAAAACUUACAGCUUAACUGUGAGCGUGCUUCCGAUACGGGCAGACUUGAGGUAUUCAGGGGAGAACGGAAUUCCUGGUGUAGCGGUGAAAUGCGCAGAUAUCAGGAGGAACACCGGUGGCGAAGGCGGUUCUCUGGGAAUAUCCUGACGCUGAGGAGCGAAAAGUGUGGGGGAGCGAAACAGG
rnacentral:rRNA from 1 species